AUCAUCAUCAUCAUUUGGACCUUCUCUUCUCUCCCUCACCUGCCUCCGAUCUCACUCUUUCUCUCUGCACAAACAUUAUGCUUGUGAUCUCCGACAAGAUCUCGAGCUUUUCCAACUAAGGUGUAUUGGUGGGAAGUGACUCCAUCCUCGCUAGUUCGAGCGGCUUUCUGGUAGUGGAAUACUUGUGAGUGGACCCCUUCUUAAUUGCAUUUUUUAUUUAUAAAAUAUUAGGUUUGCAUGCAUUUCAUAU